CCUACGGGAGGCAGCAGUGAGGAAUAUUGGUCAAUGGCCGGAAGGCUGAACCAGCCAUGCCGCGUGAAGGGCAGGGCCCUAUGGGCGUUAAACUUCUUUUGUGCGGGAGCAAUAAUGGUCACGUGUGGCCAGACGAGAGUACCGUACGAAUAAGCAUCGGCUAACUCCGUGCCAGCAGCCGCGGUAAUACGGGGGAUGCAAGCGUUAUCCGGAUUUAUUGGGUUUAAAGGGUGCGUAGGCUGUGAGGUAAGUCAGCGGGGAAAUGCCCCCGCUCAACGGGGUGAAGUGCCAUUGAUACUGCCUUGCUGGAAUGCGGAUGCCGUGGGAGGAAUGUGUGGUGUAGCGGUGAAAUGCAUAGAUAUCACACAGAACACCGAUUGCGAAGGCAUCUCACGAAUCCGCGAUUGACGCUGAUGCACGAAAGCGUGGGUAUCAAACAGGAUUAGAUACCCUAGUAGUC
rnacentral:rRNA from 1 species